rnacentral:piRNA from 1 species
UACACCUUCCCAAGUGUGAGGGCCUUAGC